UACGAAGGGGGCUAGCGUUGCUCGGAAUUACUGGGCGUAAAGGGCGCGUAGGCGGUUCUAUAAGUCAGGCGUGAAAUUCCUGGGCUUAACCUGGGGGCUGCGUUUGAUACGUGCUGUCCGGAGUUCGGAAGAGGGUCGUGGAAUUCCCAGUGUAGAGGUGAAAUUCGUAGAUAUUGGGAAGAACACCGGUGGCGAAGGCGGCGACCUGGUCCGAUACUGACGCUGAGGCGCGAAAGCGUGGGGAGCAAACAGG
rnacentral:rRNA from 1 species